CCCAUUUACAGAACUACGGACGGUGUGCCCUGCAAACAACACGGCCGGCCCUGCACGUGGGUGCGGUAGCACACUUGCGCGCGUGUGGUAUGGUGAGCGGACGGUGGUCGCUUUAAUCCGUUUAUUUCCUCGACUUUGUGUAUCAUCAAGACAACACGUAAGAAAUUAGUCUCUGAGGAAUUGCUGGCACACCUACGUGAUACGGAAGAUUUGGAGAUGGUCCGGCGAAACAUGGCAAUGUAAACACACAGUCUAUUCAUCAGUGUGAAGUCGCCAACUUGGUCUGGAAAUGUGGACUCAACUCGCUCCGAGUCAACUCCGUCUCAGGUCAACUUGGUCCCAACUGGAAGGCAGGCACAUGGCUGCAGCAUGAAUAAAAAUCUUCCAACAAAGAGGUUUGGCAGUGAUGCAUGAGGAACGUCAAGGAAAUGUCGAAGAGUGGCACGUUAGAGACUCAACUUCAUUAGUGCCAGGCAAGUGGACUGUACCUCCGUAUAUGUGGCCCUACUCCUAAACUAGAAACAAGUUGAGGAAGGAUUAAACAUUGGGAUAAAGCUCCCCGGCUGUGAACGGUAUCAGCCACAUACAGAUCUUCACUGGCAGUGAACAUGUACAACUCCAGACACCAGCAGUUGUGGUGAUCUCUGAGAACGUUAACAACUGCAUAACAACCAUAUUAGGUCUGCCUUGUAAUCGAAUGCACCCUAUAUGCCUGCAUUGCAUUGGCACACUUUGAUGCUGGACCCCACACCUGCAUACACACCUGGCAGCUGGCAAUCAGAUCAAGCCCCUUAUUGUCAUAAUAUCUGCUCUUGGAACAUUGAUGGAGGUCCAAGCAAGACGGUCAGAUUGCGGAAUCAAAGAGGGCCAGCAGUAUACAACCUUUAGAAGAGAAGUUUAAAGGGUUACAGAAAUAGACGACAUUUAGUUCGCGUGAAGCAUUUCAAAAUAAUAAUAAAUACAUAACCAUCUCAAAAAGAUCAUAAACUUAAUGUUUAUAUUUACCGCAUUAAUUGUGACAACAAAAUGAAUUUAAAAAUCCUGCAUUUCCCCGCCCAUCCCUUUUGGCUGUUUGCUCUCCCAGGCUGACUGGAUGACGUCAUCGCCAGAACGAUGCAUGUACAUGUACAGUGUACAUGUACAUAGCGCACAUUACAUGCAGUAUCGCAUGCAUUAGACCACGUAUUGUUUGAUUUAGCUUGAUGUAGCUUUGAUGAAAAAAAUUCAGGCUUGGGAUGGCCAAGAUCUCGGCUGUGAGAUGGUACAAAAUAUUCCAGUAACUUCAGGGUUAACAUUGGU